UACGAAGGGGGAUAGCGUUGUUCGGAAUUACUGGGCGUAAAGCGCACGUAGGCGGAUUGGCAAGUCAGGGGUGAAAUCCCGGAGCUCAACUUCGGAACUGCCUUUGAUACUGCCUGUCUAGAGUCCGGAAGAGGUGGGUGGAAUUCCUAGUGUAGAGGUGAAAUUCGCAGAUAUUAGGAAGAACACCGGUGGCGAAGGCGGCCCACUGGUCCGGUACUGACGCUGAGGUGAGAAAUCGAGGGGAGCAAACAGG
rnacentral:rRNA from 1 species